rnacentral:piRNA from 1 species
UGGAGAACACUAUUGAGCAACUUGGA